GACGAACGCUGGCGGCGUGCUUAACACAUGCAAGUCGAACGGAAAGGCCCUGCUUUUGUGGGGUGCUCGAGUGGCGAACGGGUGAGUAACACGUGAGUAACCUGCCCUUGACUUUGGGAUAACUUCAGGAAACUGGGGCUAAUACCGGAUAGGAGCUCCUGCUGCAUGGUGGGGGUUGGAAAGUUUCGGCGGUUGGGGAUGGACUCGCGGCUUAUCAGCUUGUUGGUGGGGUAGUGGCUUACCAAGGCUUUGACGGGUAGCCGGCCUGAGAGGGUGACCGGCCACAUUGGGACUGAGAUACGGACCAGACUCCUACGGGAGGCAGCAGUGGGGAAUAUUGCACAAUGGGCGGAAGCCUGAUGCAGCAAUGCCGCGUGCGGGAUGACGGCCUUCGGGUUGUAAACCGCUUUCGACUGUGACGAAGCGUGAGUGACGGUAAUGGGUAAAGAAGCACCGGCUAACUACGUG
rnacentral:rRNA from 1 species